rnacentral:rRNA from 1 species
AUGGAAGUGGCGUUAGCUAGCGCUGCCUUAAGCGUUAGCUUAAAAUUGGCCGCAUCUCCAGUCUUGAAGAAGCUCCAAUCUAAUGCUUCAUCAUAUCUUGGAGUGGACAUGGCACACGAACUCCAUGAACUAGAGGCCACUAUCUUGCCACAGCUGAAGUUGUUGACUGAAGCAGCAGACAAGGGAAAUCACAGGCCCAGGUUGGACAAUUGGCUUCGGGAACUCAAAGAAGCACUCUACCUGGCCAAAGAAUUGCUCGAUGAGAGUGAUUACAACCGCCUCAAGCGCCAAGCAAAGGGGAAGGAUUCCUUGCAAGCCAAUGCCUCCUCCAUCAGCAACACUCUUAUGAAGCCUUUGCGUGUUGCAUCGAGCAGGCUGUCCAAUCUGAGUUCAGAGAACAGAAAGCUAAUUCGCCAUCUUAAGGAACUGAAGGCCACCCUCGCGAAAGCCAAGGACUUCCAUCAACUGCUCUGUUUACCUGCUGGUUAUAAUGCAGAGAGCCCUGCCAUACCAUCAACUCAUGUUCAUGUGACCACAUCAGUACCACCUUUCAAAGUGAUUGGUCGUGAUAAUGAUUGCGAUCAUACAAUACAUCUUACCAAAACGACUGCUACUACUGAGUCUAGUACAGCUAUGUACUCCGGUUUGGCCAUUGUUGGGGAUGGAGGGAUGGGAAAGUCCACCUUGGCACAACUUGUCUAUAAUGAUGAGAGAGUAAUAGAAUGUUUUGAUGUGAGGAUGUGGGUAAGCAUCUCACGCAAGCUUGAUGUCCGCCGUCAUACACGAGAGAUCAUCGAGUCUGCCUCAAAGGGGAAAUGUCCAAGCAUCAAUAACCUUGAUACUCUGCAUCACAAGUUGAUUGACAUACUGCAAGAGUCAGGGAAAUUCCUACUAGUGUUAGAUGAUGUUUGGUUUGAACCUGGCAGUGAGAAGGAAUGGGACCAACUGUUGGCUCCUUUAGUUUCUCAAAAUACAGGAAGUAAAGUUUUGGUAACUUCUCGACAAGAUAGAUUUCCAGCUGCUUUCUGCUGUGAGGUGUGCCCUCUGAAAAACAUGAAAGAUGAUCACUUCUUGGCACUCUUCAAGCAUCAUGCAUUUGCUGGACUAGAAAUCAUAAAUCAACUAUCGUGUGAAAGGCUUGAAGAUUUUGCAGAGAAGAUUGCUAAAAGGCUUGGACGAUCUCCUUUGGCGGCCAAAGUUGUGGGUUCCCAGUUGAAAGGGAAAACAGAUAUAUCUGCAUGGAAGGAUGCUCUGAAUAUAAAGAAUGAUAAAUUAAGUGAGCCCAUGAGAGCUCUGUUGUGGAGUUAUGAGAAGUUAGAUCCAUGUCUACAGAGGUGCUUCCUAUAUUGCAGCUUGUUUCCAAAAGGCCACAAGUAUGUCAUUGAUGAGUUAGUUUAUCUUUGGAUGGCAGAGGGCCUUGUUGAGUCGUGCAACAAAAACAAGAGAGUGGAAGAUGUUGGGAGGGAUUGCUUCAGUGAAAUGAUCUCUGUUUCGUUCUUUCAACCAGUUGAUGAGAAACACACCGACACUUAG